CCCCCAGUUCCAGAAGACACCCCAAGGAAGAUGAAUUGGGCUGUUGACUCUGAGCAGAAGGAGACUGAGAGCCUCUGCCUCUUCCAGAAGCAAGGCACUGCCUGGUGCCCGCGUCUUGGAACGUGCUGGCUUCAUUGCUCUGACAGCAUGAAGGAUGUUUGGUUUUGUUCCCAGUGCUGUUAUCAUUUAUCAUCCUUUUGUAAAAGCUGGCACCCUCCACCUGUCCCCUCUUCCUUCUCACUGUCUCCCAAUCCCCACCUCCAAUCCAACCUCCCCAUCCUGCCUGUAUCCCCUGCCUCUGAGGGGAAGCCUCUCGUAUUUCACCCUAGGGAGAAGGCUCCCACAUUGGUUUCCAGAAGCCCAAGAGACACCCAAGUUGAAUUCAACACAGUUGCUGAGCAAUUCCUGUGGGCAAACUGCUGUGCUUUGGAUGGCAAAAGACCCUGACUUCAGGCACCUUGCAUUCCAGCAAGGAAAUAACCAUGAAGCUCCUCACAGCAAAACACUGGCAUGCACCGGCAGAGAUGGAGGAGAACCACACGUCCAGAGAGUCUGGGAAAGGCAGAGCCAAGAGCCUUUUAAAGAAUAGAAGCAGGAGGGUGGACGAUGGUGGAAGACAGAGGUGCGGACAAAGACUGAGCGUGGAGAUCUUCAGGAAAAGAUGGCUGAGAACACAAAGAAAGAGAUAAAGUCACAGCUGGAAGAGGAGCUGUCAGAGAUGUAUCUGGGCAUCGCGGAUUUUCUCCGGGAAUCCUACAAGGAUGGUGGCUGGUCUGAAACACGGCAUGGCAGUUAAGAGAAGGGGCUUGAAAUGAGCCUGUACACAUCUGGAUUCAAAUCCGUGCUCUAUGACUGUAAGCAAGUUGGUUAAGCUUUCUGAAGCUGAAAGCUCCCAUAAAAUGAAGACAGCGGCUUGUACGUCAAACACUCGUGGGGAAUGGAGGGGACAACAUGUGUAAAGUGUCCGGGAUACAGUAACAUCCCAUUCAUGUAACCUGUUAGCAUCGAGACAGGGUCUGAUCAGUUCACUGCGCCGCUGGGGAGGGAGUUGGCUGGCCUCGGGCCACACCCCCAGGAAAGGCAGAGCGGGGACUCCUGAGCCGAGGCCAGUGUGAAUCCGAAGUUCCUGCUUGGCCCGGGAGCCAAUCUGUUGAGGACAGAAAGCUUGAACCACUGUGUCUCAGUGGGAGAGACAGAUCUGAUGAUGUUCCUCCCUUGCUUCAAACUCUACCAGGGCUUCCCCUUUAUGCUGAGAUAGCGAUGUCCUGAACAAGGCUGUCCAAGUCCCGGGCAGGCUGGCCCCUCUUCUUU